GGAGGAAAGCAGGGGAUCGCAAGACCUUGCGCUUUUGGAGUGGCCGAUGCCUGAUUAGCUAGUUGGUGGGGUAAUGGCCUACCAAGGCGACGAUCAGUAGUUGGUUUGAGAGGACGACCAGCCACACUGGGACUGAGACACGGCCCAGACUCCUACGGGAGGCAGCAGUGGGGAAUUUUGGACAAUGGGCGAAAGCCUGAUCCAGCAAUGCCGCGUGAGUGAAGAAGGCCUUCGGGUUGUAAAGCUCUUUCAGUCGAGAAGAAAAGGUUGUGACUAAUAAUCACAACUCAUGACGGUAUCGACAGAAGAAGCACCGGCUAACUACGUGCCAGCAGCCGCGGUAAUACGUAGGGUGCGAGCGUUAAUCGGAAUUACUGGGCGUAAAGGGUGCGCAGGCGGCUUUGUAAGUCAGAUGUGAAAUCCCCGGGCUUAACCUGGGA
rnacentral:rRNA from 1 species